UACGUAGGGCGCAAGCGUUGUCCGGAAUUAUUGGGCGUAAAGAGCUCGUAGGCGGUUUGUCGCGUCUGCCGUGAAAGCCCGGGGCUUAACUCCGGGUCUGCGGUGGAUACGGGCAGACUAGAGGCAGGUAGGGGAGAACGGAAUUCCUGGUGUAGCGGUGAAAUGCGCAGAUAUCAGGAGGAACACCGGUGGCGAAGGCGGGUCUCUGGGCCGAUACUGACGCUGAGGAGCGAAAGCGUGGGGAGCGAACAGG
rnacentral:rRNA from 1 species